rnacentral:lncRNA from 1 species
ACUAUUAAAAAAAGGGUCAUUUAUGAUAGUUUUAGCAUAUUAUAUAUGUUUUUAGUAUAUUCAAUUUCAAAUAUCCUCUAAUAAAAUUGAUGUCAAAUAGGGAUACUUUUGAGUUGUUCUUUAAAUUUCGUCUAGGACCCUCAAAUUCUCAGGAAGGGCCAUGUAUGUGCACAACAAUUAUUGAAGCAAGAUCGGUUGACAACAGCACGUUUUGUGCUAUCAUCAUCGAUAUCGGUCUACUACUGUCUUUGAUUGCUUAUUUGGUGGUCAGCAUCCGAAGGUUCGUCUAUUACAUCAUCAUCUCUACGUCUGCUAAGGAGGGAAAUAAUUUUCACAAAGAACCGAACCGAAACCGAAACCUAAUAAGAUUUCCUAAGUUGGAACAAUAUAAAUUGAUAUGUAUCCAGAUUGAAAUGAAUAUACACGUAUGAGACAUGUUUUAUAGAAACUGGGUGCAAAAUUAAUGUGAGUUAAUUAACUAUAAUGUUGGAGUUAUAAAGAUGUAGAUUAGCAAAUAGGAGUUAAUUAACAAUGUCAAAUAAUAUAAUAGUGAUAGUAUUACAGUUUAUACAAGACGAUGAGAACAUUCAAAGUUCAUUUCAUUAUGCACUAAUUAACAUGUUCUCAACUAUUAAAAAAAGAUCCAUAAACAAACAAAUUGCUUAGGAGAAAAAUCCGAAGGUAUCCAAAAUGGUUGUGUGGAGCGGGUCACUCAAAUGGGUCGCCCAGUUGUUGAGUGGUCCUUUUCCAGUGGCCGCAGCCUGGACUGCAAAGCCCAAAAACGCCACCAUUGCAAGGCGGGCGUGCUUGAUCUCAGCCAGCUGAAGGGUUGCCUUCUUUUCCGGGUCAGCUGCAAGGCCCAAUGGGUCGAAGUAGGACCCACCCGGGUAUAGCCUCUGUUCCGGGUCAAGUUCUGCGUUCCUCUGGAACUCGAUGAACCCGAUCACGAGCACCUCGAUAAUGAUCAAUGUGGAUAUGGAGAAUGGAAGUGGUUGCCCAAGGUACGAUGAUCCAUCGAUCAGCUCAACCUAUGCGUACAAAUUGAUCUAAGAUUCUCUCUUCUUUAAUUCAUAAUUAAUUAUGUUAAAUUUAAUUAAUUACCUUUCCGGCGUCUUGCCAG